rnacentral:rRNA from 1 species
CCUACGGGUGGCUGCAGUGGGGAAUAUUGGACAAUGGGCGAAAGCCUGAUCCAGCCAUGCCGCGUGUGUGAAGAAGGCCUUCGGGUUGUAAAGCACUUUCAGUGGGGAAGAAAGCCUUGGGGCUAAUACCCUCGAGGAAGGACAUCACCCACAGAAGAAGCACCGGCUAACUCCGUGCCAGCAGCCGCGGUAAUACGGAGGGUGCGAGCGUUAAUCGGAAUUACUGGGCGUAAAGCGCGCGUAGGCGGUCUGAUAAGCCGGUUGUGAAAGCCCCGGGCUCAACCUGGGAACGGCAUCCGGAACUGUCAGGCUAGAGUGCAGGAGAGGAAGGUAGAAUUCCCGGUGUAGCGGUGAAAUGCGUAGAGAUCGGGAGGAAUACCAGUGGCGAAGGCGGCCUUCUGGACUGACACUGACGCUGAGGUGCGAAAGCGUGGGUAGCAAACAGGAUUAGAUACCCUAGUGGUC